rnacentral:rRNA from 1 species
ACUCCUACGGGAGGCAGCAGUGGGGAAUAUUGGACAAUGGGCGGGAGCCUGAUCCAUCCAUGCCGCGUGCAGGAAGACUGCCCUAUGGGUUGUAAACUGCUUUUGUACAGGAAGAAACACUCCCUCGUGAGGGAGCUUGACGGUACUGUAAGAAUAAGGAUCGGCUAACUCCGUGCCAGCAGCCGCGGUAAUACGGAGGAUCCAAGCGUUAUCCGGAAUCAUUGGGUUUAAAGGGUCCGUAGGUGGAUGAUUAAGUCAGAGGUGAAAUCCUGCAGCUCAACUGUAGAAUUGCCUUUGAUACUGGUUGUCUUGAAUUAUUGUGAAGUAGUUAGAAUAUGUGGUGUAGCGGUGAAAUGCAUAGAUAUCACAUAGAAUACCGAUUGCGAAGGCAGAUUACUAACAAUACAUUGACACUGAUGGACGAAAGCGUGGGGAGCGAACAGGAUUAGAUACCCUGGUAGGAUAGCGU